CACAAUUUGAGUUUUAACAGGCACCAGUUGAUGCUGAUUCUGAUGGUCUCAUGUGGCACCCUCAGAGGAACAAUAGAAGAGCUGAUACAUCCAAAGAGAGAAUUGCAGAAUAAGGAGAAGGAGGAGCAGCAACUGGAGCAGCAGGAAGACAAGGAGGAUGAAGAGGAAGAGGAGAAGGAGACGGCAGUAAAGAAGAUAGAGAAGCAAGAUUGAGGAGAGCCCAGCAUAAACAUCACUACAAAUACCCAUUCAUGGGUUGUAUCCUUAAGCAAAAAUUGUAUUGCCUCACCUGUGAUAAAGCAGUAGUUCUUUGUUGAUGUUUCCUUUGUAACGAAAGGUCAUGACAUUUUCAAAGAGAACAGUGUUUGGCAUAGAGGAUAAGAUAUCUGUUUUCUUUAAUUAUAAAAUAUGAAGUCAUGUUCUGGUUCAUCAGUCUUCUAAAUUGGUCUGCUCUUCCUGGAGGGUGGGACCAUAACUAACACGAGAAGGUCACUCCUUUGUUUCUAGUCUGCUAUCCUUGUUUGACCUAUCAUACAUAAUCCCCACACUUCCUAACUUGGGGAAGCAGAAAAUGAUGGGUGGACUAAUGCCUACAUGUUGGUAUUCCAACAUAACAUGUAGAUGAGUUAAGUUUAACUGUAAUUUUAAAGUGUGUAUAUUAAGAUGUAUCAAUAUUUCUUACCAUGUAGUUUGCUGUUUGUUAGUGCCUUUGGGCUAUUAGUUUGCUUUAUGUUCACUAGAACAUGAAUACCUUAGAUCUACUAGAACAGUACCUAGUAUUGUUGGAUAAAUGAAGUGGUGAAGAAAACCAGAGGUAAGAAAGGAGAAGAGAGGGAGAAGAAAGAAAGAAGAAAAGAAGAAAAUCAUUUGACUUUCCCCAAGUAAUCGAAGCAGUUUAUUUUUAAAAUCAGAUAUAGUUCAGUAGUUACUGAACCAUGGGCCAGGCACAAUGGCUCAUGACUGCAAUCCCAGCACUACUUGGAGGCUAAGGCAGAAGGAUUUUUGUGGUCAAAAGUUCAAGACCAGCAUGGGCAACAUAGCAAGACCAAGUCUCCACCAAAAACAAUUUAAAUUAAAUUAACCAAGAGUGAUAACACAUGUCUGUAGUCCCAGCUAAACAUGAGGCUGAGGUUGUAGGACCACUUGAGCCCAGGAGUUCCAGGCAUCUGUGAACUAUGAUCUCACCAAUGCACUCAAGACUGUGCUAUGCAGCAAGACCCCAUCUCUGGAAAAAUAAAAUAGUUACUGAACCCUAUGUAACUUUUUUCCACUCAGAAUGUAAAGAGAUUGUGUUUGUUUUACACAUGAGAAGAAACUUUGUAUCUAUAAUGCUUAUAAAUCUCAUGACAAAAGAAUAAGAAUAAUAUCUAUCUAAUUUAAUUUGAAUUAUUUAUUUGCCUUAAGAAAUGAUUUAUAUUUUCUUGUAUAUUACCCAGAGAGUAAUCAUAAUUUCCAGUAAGGCUGUUCCAAUACAGCAUAAAAAUUUACCUAAUAAAUACUUCCUUAAAAAAUCUGAUACAAAAUUAAACCACAAAUUAUCUUUACUGGUUAAAGCCUAAGGAUAACUAAUGCAUUCAAGAGACAAAUAUGUGGUUGUUUUUUUUUUUAUGUUUUUGUGGAGAUACGGGUCUCACUAUGUUGCCUAGGCUAUUCUUGAACUUCUAUGCUCAAGCAAUCCUCCUGCCUCGGCCUCCCAAAGUGCUGGGAUUACAGACAUGAGCCACUGAGACCAGCCUUGUUUCAAACUUCACAGUACCCAAAGAAUCACCUGGAGAUAAUGUUAAAAUGCAAACGCCUUAGGACAACCCCAAGAUUCUGACUCAGCAAGUUUGCGAAGGUGGACUAAGAAUUUACAUUUCCACAGGCUCCAGCUGAUGCUGUCUGUGAUGUUCCCAUAUGGCACACUCUGAGGAACAAUGCACUAGGCUGUAUAACUUACCUCAACUUUAUAUAUAAGUUUUUGAUAUUCGUUUCUUAGUACAUUGAGUUAUCCAACCAGCAGUGAGUAGGGUAAUUUUUACACAAAUUUUCCUAGGAAUGUAAUGAAAACAUUUUUUCCUUCACUCUAGUGUAAUCAUGUCAACACAUGGCUGCUAUGGAAAAAUAUGUAGCCUUAAAAACUCCAGGAAAUUAAAUUGAAUUUCCAAAUACAUAUAUUCAGUCAUAUGUGAGAUAUGUAUCAGUGAGCACUUAGAGUCAUUUCACCAUAAAUAUAAUAAUUUUUUAUCAUAUAGUACCCAAAAGAUUACUGAAUUUGGCAAAUGUUUACGUUCACUUUGUAACUUAAAAUAUUCUAAAGUCAAUAGAAGAUGGUAAAAGUAUGAGAUAAAUAAUGAUUUGAAGAAAAACUCUUGAAGUAUAUGAAGACUGUAAUUUUAUUAUGCCAGUUACCACGAGUUAUCAGAGAACAUGUAAAAUCUUGAUAACAUGGUAAGUAUUAUUUGUGUCAUAGAGUUGUUCCACCUUGGACACAUACUUGUGGAAACAUCUUUAUCACUGCAAUUAUUUCUAUGCCUGGUUUCCUCCAGCAUGCUUUUCUGUCAUCUGACUCACUCAGCGCUAGACUAACAGUGGGAUUAACAUGCAGUGGGUACAGUUGUUUCCUGGUUACUUUGUCUUCACAAUCAUCUAUUGCAAAAUCACUUUGUUACGGUUAUUUUUAUCAUUUGUAGAGACAGAUUUUGGGCAUUACUUUUAGUUUCCAUAAUGUGAUCUCAUAAUUGCCAUUAUUUAACAAAAACAAAUGGGGGACUUCAGAGUGUUUAAAUACAUUGGCCCUCUAGGGUAGCACAUCAUCUCUUGAAGCUUCACUUCAACUUCACUACUUCUGUAGUCUCAUCUUGAGUAAAAGAGAACCCAGCCAACUAUGAAGUUCCUUGUCUUUGCCUUCAUCUUGGCUCUCAUGGUUUCCAUGAUUGGAGCUGAUUCAUCUGAAGAGAAAUUUUUGCGUAGAAUUGGAAGAUUCGGUUAUGGGUAUGGCCCUUAUCAGCCAGUUCCAGAACAACCACUAUACCCACAACCAUACCAACCACAAUACCAACAAUAUACCUUUUAAUAUCAUCAGUAACUGCAGGACAUGAUUAUUGAGGCUUGAUUGGCAAAUACGACUUCUACAUCCAUAUUCUCAUCUUUCAUACCAUAUCACACUACUACCACUUUUUGAAGAAUCAUCAAAGAGCAAUGCAAAUGAAAAACACUAUAAUUUACUGUAUACUCUUUGUUUCAGGAUACUUGCCUUUUCAAUUGUCACUUGAUGAUAUAAUUGCAAUUUAAACUGUUAAGCUGUGUUCAGUACUGUUUCUGAAUAAUAGAAAUCACUUCUCUAAAAGCAAUAAAUUUCAAGCACAUUUUUA
rnacentral:lncRNA from 1 species